rnacentral:rRNA from 1 species
AUUGAACGCUGGCGGCAGGCCUAACACAUGCAAGUCGAACGAGUGGCGGACUGGUGCGUAAUGUCUGGGAAACUGCCUGAUGGAGGGGGAUCACUACUGGAAACGGAAGCGAAUCCCGCAUACCAUCUGAUGUGCCCCGAUGGGAUUAGCUAGUGGGUGGGGUAACGGUUCACAAAGGCGACGAUCCCUAGCUGGUCUGAGAGGAUGACCAGCCACACUGGAACUGAGACACGGUCCAGACUCCUACGGGAGGCAGCAGUGGGGAAUAGUGUGCAAUGGGCGCAAGCCUGAUGCAGUCAUGCCGCGUGUAUGAAGAAGGCCUGCGGGUUGUAAAGUACUUUCAGCGGGGAGGCGUUACCCGCAGAAGAAGCAACGGCUAACUCCGUGACAGCAGCCGCGGUAAUUC